GGCCUUAUAUUCAACAAUGAUUUUAAAUUGCAAGUUUAAAGGUGGAUUAGCCCUAAGGCUU
rnacentral:tRNA from 1 species